rnacentral:rRNA from 1 species
GAUGAACGCUAGCGGCAGGCUUAACACAUGCAAGUCGAGGGGCAGCAUAAUGGUUAGCAAUAUCUAUGGUGGCGACCGGCGCACGGGUGCGUAACGCGUAUGCAACCUACCUUUAACAGGGGGAUAACACUGAGAAAUUGGUACUAAUACCCCAUAAUAUCAUAGAAGGCAUCUUUUAUGGUUGAAAAUUCCGUUGGUUAGAGAUGGGCCUGCGUUGUAUUGGCUAGUUGGUGGGGUAACGGCUCACCAAGGCGACGAUACAUAGGGGGACGGAGAGGUUACGCCCCGAGAGUGGUACUGGGAAACGGACGAGAGUCCUACGGGAGGCAGCAGUGAGGAAUGUUGGACAAUGGAAGAAAGUCUGAACCAGCGAUGCCGGGUGCAGGAUGGCGGCGCGAUGAGUUGUAAACUGCUUUUGGAAGAGGGUAAACGCAGAUACGUGUAUCUGUCUGAAAGUAUCGGACGAAUAAGGAUCGGCUAACUCCGUG